UCUUCAUUGCACAGAUGGUGGCAGCAGCAAUUGCUUUUUCUUCGUCAGAACUGUAAGCCACACCAUUUUAACAUGAUGCACGAGAAAAAGAAGAGUUCAU